GACCGCGUAGCUCAGUUGGAAGAGCAUUGUGCUAGUAUCCAAAGGUCGUAGGUUCGAAUCCCACCGUGGCCG